AUCCCUUCGGGGGCAUCCAUUAAAAUUAGAAUGAUACAGAGAACAUUAGCAUGACCUCCGCGCCAGGAUGACACCACAAAUUGAGAAAUGCAGAUUAGGAAA
rnacentral:snRNA from 1 species